rnacentral:rRNA from 1 species
GCGGCCUAUCAGCUUGUUGGUGAGGUAACGGCUCACCAAGGCUAAGACGGGUAGCUGGUCUGAGAGGACGACCAGCCACACUGGAACUGAGACACGGUCCAGACACCUACGGGUGGCAGCAGUCGAGAAUCUUUCACAAUGGGCGAAAGCCUGAUGGAGCGACGCCGCGUGGGGGAUGAAGGGCUUCGGUCCGUAAACCCCUGUCAUUCGUGAACAAACCUUCAUAUUGAAUAGGUAUGAAGCUGAUAGUAGCGAAAGAGGAAGGGACGGCUAACUCUGUGCCAGCAGCCGCGGUAAUACAGAGGUCCCAAGCGUUGUCCGGAUUCACUGGGCGUAAAGGGUGCGUAGGUGGCGGGGUAAGUUUGAUGUGAAAUCUCCGGGCUCAACCCGGAAAUUGCAUUGAAUACUAUUUCGCUAGAGGAUCGGAGGGGAGACUGGAAUUCCU